GACGAACCGUGCGAACGUUGUUCGGAAUCACUGGGCUUAAAGGGCGCGUAGGCGGGUUCGCAAGUCUGUGGUGAAAGCCUCCAGCUUAACUGGAGAAGUGCCAUGGAUACUGCGCAUCUUGAGGAGGGUAGGGGCGUCUGGAACGGUCGGUGGAGCGGUGAAAUGCGUUGAUAUCGACCGGAACUCCGGUGGCGAAGGCGAGGCGCUGGACCCUUUCUGACGCUGAGGCGCGAAAGCCAGGGGAGCAAAGCGGG
rnacentral:rRNA from 1 species